CCAAACUUGGUCAUUUAGAGGAAGUAAAAGUCGUAACAAGGUUUCCGUAGGUGAACCUGCGGAAGGAUCAUUAACGAGUUGGUGGCCUCUUGGUCGCAUUAUCUCAUCCCGUCCGUGAUCUAUACCCGGUGUUUUGGCGGUCACUUAGGCUAGAUCCGAGGUGCCGCCAAUGCAUAUAUACACGCGCAAUUUUUUUGUCUGAAUGCCAAGAGGAAAAAUACAUAUGUAAAAAACUAUGAACAACGGAUCUCUAGGCUCUUGCAUCGAUGAAGAACGCAGC
rnacentral:misc_RNA from 1 species